rnacentral:rRNA from 1 species
GCAAGUCGAACGAAGCAGCAAUGCUUAGUGGCGCAAGGGUGAGGAACACGUGAGUGACCUACCCGCAAGUUUGGAACAGCUCCUGGAAACGGGAAUUAAUACCGGAUGUGAUCGAUGAACUGCAUGGUUUAUUGAUUAAAGCAGCAAUGCGCUUGCGGAUGGGCUCGCGUCCCAUUAGCUAGUUGGUGAGGUAACGGCCCACCAAGGCCAUGAUGGGUAGCUGGUCUGAGAGGACGACCAGCCACACUGGGACUGAGAACUGCCCAGACUCCUACGGGAGGCUGCAGUCGAGAAUUUUGGGCAAUGGACGAAAGUCUGAACCCCCAGCAAUGCCGCGUGCGGGAUGAAGGUCUUCGGAUUGUAAACCGCUGUUUGGAGGGACGAAAAUUGACGGUACUUCCAGAGGAAGCCACGGCUAACUACGUGCCAGCCGCUGC